CCCACUUCUGCUUGUACAGUUACAUAAACAAACAGAACUACAGAUAUUGAAGCGAUAAGAAUCAUAUGCAGAUCCACAAGAAACCUCUCCAUAGUAAGGAGGUAACUGUUUGGUGUGGUUGGGCAUUAUUGCUUUGAUGUAAACAACUGAGCCAUUACUUUGGAUUCUGAGCACUGUUGGUUGCACUGUGCCACAAACAUUUCAGGCUACAGAACUGUGACAGAUGAGGCAGAGGCUGAGAAAUGUUGAUGGUUUCCACAGACCCAGUGAUAAGGGAAAGUAUAACUUCUCUUAAAGGAAUGUUUCCAGGCUGCUUCAUUUCAUGAUUUGGCAACAUUCCCUUGGUCAUCUGAAUCCCCAGACUUGACAGCCCCACACUUUGCCUUGUGAGGGUAUCUCAGCUCUGAAGUGUACUGAAGGGUGCUACCCCCAUUUCUCCAAGACCUCAAGGACUGCAUUACAGAAGGAAUCAGAACAAUUAAAGGCACUUCACUAUAGUGAGUUAUGUAACUUCAAACAGUGACUACAGAAACAUACUGAAUAUCAUGGAGGUCAUCCAAAACAUGUAAGGCAUGAAUACUAAACUACAAUCAUCAUGCCAGUUCUUUCUUACUGCCCUGUCUCUCACAGUAGCCUACAGAAAAGACACAUCCUUCCACCCCACCCUGUAUCAAAAUCUUGGUUCAUGUCUGGGAGCUCUUACCCAAACAUCAUAUUUACUUGAAUCCAAGACAAUUAUUUCUCUACUUCACAUUCUGAAAAACUAAUGGUCAUUGUAAUACAUGGAAGGAUUCUCUAAGAGCUUCCCAGAAAUUGUUUUGGCACUUUUGUGAAAGAGGCAGGCACUCCUUGUAUCAGCUCUGGCAGCAUGUGUUUCAACUUGCUGUAUGUGUAUGAAGGCAGGAGCCUAGACACAUUACAAUUUCUCUCCAAUACAGGGUUCAAUAAAUCACUGAGGAACCACUGUGAAACAAGCAUAUGUGUUAUGUGCCUGUUAACUUUAAUCCCAAGCACUUACGAACACUUUAAGUCUGGCCAUGAUACAUAUACCAAGUGCCUUGCCUUGCCUUGCCAGGGAACUGUUGAUGGCACAAAUACUGCCAUGAACUUUAAAAAUCUACGGUACAAAACCACCUGCAAUACUGACAUAAAAUUUUCAAUGAAGUUUUAUGGUUCAACAGAAGAGGUUUUGGCAAAACAGCAAUAUGAAGCUGUGCCACCUAUAGUUAAGUGCAACAUUUACUAAAUCUCGGUUUCCUGGUGUCAAUAUUUAAGUCAUCAAUAUAUCUCUAUAUUUGAAUAAAAGUACCUUUAAUGUUCUAUUAGAGAGUACGAUCAAAAAGAAGUAAGGACAGGCAAGGUCAUUACUAGACAACAGUGAAUUCAAAUAAAUGCUGAGUGCUGACUGAAGAGAAAUUGCAUAAGAUCAGUGCUAGACUAGAGUAUUCUCCUGACAGAUCUCCUGGGUACCUUGUACAGGGCAAUGGGGUCUGAAAGUAACAGGUUUCAGGUUUCCUUUAUUUCCGAAAAGGAACUCCAAUGUGUGUAUGUGACCUUUCUUUUUAUGGACAUGCACAAAAUGCAUGCACAAUAGGAAUCAUUUCUGGCAUGUUAUGCAACAUGGACUGAUUUUGUUUGUGAUGUGUUGGUCUACGGGUUUGUCAAUUACUGUGGGUCUGAACACACUUGACAACAGUCAGUUUGAGAUACAUCUCUUCCACAGGUGGCCAAACAAUUAUGUGGCAGGUCCACAGAUAGUCUCCUGGUAGUACGAGUACAGGAUGAUUCACUCAGAGUUAAGCCCUGAAUCAACAAUUAUAAAUAAUGCAACAAUUUACUGAUGAAAAUGAAACUUGGCAAAAAUUCUCUUUGGCAGGCAUGGAGAUAAUUGGGCUACUGGUGUUGAGACAGGUUUCCCUCCUACUGGAUACACAGGCCAACAUGGUGUUCCAUGUUCCUGAAUGUUGGAGUCAAUACUGCAAGAGGUAUUGCAACAGUUUCAAUGGUGAUGGAAUGGCAUGAUCUGGGAAGGUUGGAAACAGGUUUGUAACAAUGGGCUGUUAUUUUUGGAGAAUUCCUUUGCUGUAGACUGGAUGAAGAGAACGUUUCUGAAGUUCAUUCUGUCUUCACCUUCAGAGCCUCCUGGAGAUGACAACACUGAUACAUUGCUGGCUGGCCGAUUUGCUGUUGCUAAGAGAGAACAGACUAAAUCAGGCUUCUCAAAAUACUGUACAAGGGCUAGCAGACAUGCAUGAUGGAUAUGACUUGAGUAACUACUGUGCAAAUCGAAGGAACAGGGCAACUUCAUACUUACCACUAGUCACAGAAAAGCUGAACAAA